AGCGGGUUAGAGAAGUUCGGCCAUCUCGCGAGCCUCAUAAGCUUGAGACCACCGGUUCAAAUCCGGUACCCGCCAC
rnacentral:tRNA from 1 species